CGAAUUUGGAGUAAGAAUCGACGUUGUCGGCAUUACGGUAUAGUAGUUUCCCAAAAAAAAUUCAAAAAAAAAUUCAAAAAAAAAACUAGUUUCCAUUCAAACUUAAAAGAUUGGAUAUCAAGUUGUGAAAAAAAAUUUGAAAAAAAAUUUGAAAAAAAAAAUUGUGAAAAAAAAGAGCUAGUUUUGAAAUUUAGUUUUUGUUUGCUGACCAAAUUUUAGUCAUUAUUACCUUCUACUAUUUCGCCACACCAAAUCUUUUCAUUUCUUUGCUUCAAACCUACCUUCCUUUGUCCUACAAUAUUCUUACCAAGCCCAAACAUCAAGUUUGUAAGCCGACC
rnacentral:lncRNA from 1 species